GACGAACCGUGCGAACGUUAUUCGGAAUCACUGGGCUUAAAGCGCGUGUAGGCGGGAAGGUACGUCCGUCGCUGAAAUCCCCCGGCUCAACCGGGGAACUGGCGUGGAUACGGCCAUCCUGGAGGGGCGUAGGGGGAGCCUGGAACUUCCGGUGGAGCGGUGAAAUGCGUUGAGAUCGGAAGGAACGCCCGUGGCGAAAGCGAGGUCCUGGACGCCUACUGACGCUGAGACGCGAAAGCCAGGGGAGCGGAACGGGAU
rnacentral:rRNA from 1 species